rnacentral:rRNA from 1 species
GACGAACGCUGGCGGCGUGCCUAAUACAUGCAAGUCGAGCGAAUGGAUUAAGAGCUUGCUCUUAUGAAGUUAGCGGCGGACGGGUGAGUAACACGUGGGUAACCUGCCCGUAAGACUGGGAUAACUCCGGGAAACCGGGGCUAAUACCGGAUAACAUUUUGAACCGCAUGGUUCGAAAUUGAAAGGCGGCUUCGGCUGUCACUUAUGGAUGGACCCGCGUCGCAUUAGCUAGUUGGUGAGGUAACGGCUCACCAAGGCAACGAUGCGUAGCCGACAGGAGAGGGGGAUCGGCCACGCUGGGACUGAGACACGGCCCAGACUCCUACGGGAGGCAGCAGUAGGGAAUCUUCCGCAAUGGACGAAAGUCUGACGGAGCAACGCCGCGUGGGUGAUGAAGGCUUUCGGGUCGUAAAACUCUGUUGUUAGGGAAGAACAAGUGCUAGUUGAAUAAGCUGGCACCUUGACGGUACCUAACCAGAAAGCCACGGCUAACUACGUGCCAGCCGCCGCAGUAA